AUACGGAGGGUGCAAGCGUUAAUCGGAAUUACUGGGCGUAAAGCGUACGUAGGCGGUUUAUUAAGUCAGAUGUGAAAGCCCCGGGCUUAACCUGGGAACUGCAUUUGAAACUAGUAGACUAGAGUAUGGUAGAGGGGGGUAGAAUUCCUAGUGUAGCUGUGAAAUGCGUAGAUAUUAGGAGGAAUACCAGUGGCGAAGGCGGCCCCCUGGCUCGAUACUGACGCUGAGGUGCGAAAGCGUGGGGAGCAAACAGGAUUAGAUACCCCGGUAGUCC
rnacentral:rRNA from 1 species